UACUGGUACCUUGUUUCCCAUGUAACAGUAAGAAAUAUACUCAAAACCUGGAUUAAUCUUUUUAGUCACAUAGCACUACUAUUAUUCUGAACACUACUGUAGGUGACCAAAAUGCCAUCUCAAACAUUUUGCCACCCUGGUUGAUGGUGACCAACCUAUCUGGCCCCUGGACUACAGGCACACAGUACUCUGAGACAAAUGCAUUGUCUGGCAUUUGGUUUGGCAGCUGCGAGAUGUGGCAUGGGUUCAAGACCGAAAGAGGUUAUGGCCUUGAAACAAGAGGGUAUAGAUCAGGGGUUUGAGGUCUCUAACAUCACCAUCAUGAAUGCUCACGAUCCGAGGGACUGUUCUUUAAAAGGUUGUGUGUUUAUACUUUUU